rfam:Exidia glandulosa HHB12029 unplaced genomic scaffold EXIGLscaffold_820, whole genome shotgun sequence.
GGCCCAAUGGUCUAGUCGUAUGAUUCUCGCUUUGGGUGUUCUCAAGUGCGAGAGGUCACGGGUUCAAUUCCCGUUUGGGCCC